UCCCCUCGCCCGCCGCGCGCGGCGGGCGGGGCGGGGGCACGGGGGGCCUACGGGAGGCAGCAGUGGGGAAUAUUGCGCAAUGGGCGAAAGCCUGACGCAGCAACGCCGUGUGAGGGAUGAAGGCUUUCGGGUCGUAAACCUCUGUCGGAAGGGAAGAACGGGCAAUGGUCUAAUAGCC
rnacentral:rRNA from 1 species